GACGAACGCUGGCGGCGUGCUUAACACAUGCAAGUCGAACGGAAAGGCCCUGCUUUUGUGGGGUGCUCGUGUGGCGAACGGGUGAGUAACACGUGAGUAACCUGCCCUUGACUUUGGGAUAACUCCAGGAAACUGGGGCUAAUACCGGAUAGGAGCUCCUGCUGCAUGGUGGGGGAUGGAAAGUUUCGGCUGUUGGGGAUGGACUCGCGGCUUAUCCGCUUGAUGGUCGGGUAGUGGCUUACCAAGGCUUAGACGGGUAGCCGACAUGAGAGGGUUAACGGCCACAUGGGGUCUGAGAUACGGCCCAGACUCCUACGGGAGGCAGCAGUGGGGAAUAUUGCGCAAUGGGCGGAAGCCAGAUGCAGAAGCGCCGCGUGCGGGAAAACGGCCUUCGGGUUGUAAACCGCUUUCGACUGUGACGAAGCGUGAGUGACGGUAAUGGGUAAAGAAGCACCGGCUAACUACGUG
rnacentral:rRNA from 1 species